rnacentral:rRNA from 1 species
GACGAACGCUGGCGGCGUGCUUAACACAUGCAAGUCGAACGGAAAGGCCCUGCUUUUGUGGGGUGCUCGAGUUUCUACCUUUUUAUUAACACGUGAGUAACCUGCCCUGUACUUUGGUAUAACUUCAGGAAACUGUGUCUAAUACCUGAUAGGCGCUCCUUCUGCAUGGUGGGGUGUGGAACGUUUCGGCGGUUGGGGAUGGACUCGCGGCUUCUCAGCUUGUUGGUGGGGUAGUGGGUUACCCAGGCUUUGACGGGUAGACGGCCUGAGAGGGUGACCGGCCACAUUGGGACUGAGAAGCGGACAAGACUCCUACGGGAGGCAGCAGUGGGGAAUAUUGCAAGAUGGGCGGAAGCCUUGUGCAGCAAAGACGCGUGGGGGAUGACGGCCUUCGGGGUGUAAACCGCGUUCGCCUGUGACGAAGAGUGAGUGACGGUAAUGGGGAAAGAAGCACCGGCUAACUACGUG